rnacentral:tRNA from 1 species
GGCGCUGUAGCUCAGUUGGUUAGAGCAGAGGAAUCAUAAUCCUUGUGUCCGGGGUUCGAGUCCCUGCAGCGCCA